rnacentral:rRNA from 1 species
AUUGAACGCUGGCGGCAGGCCUAACACAUGCAAGUCGAGCGGAUGACGGGAGCUUGCUCCUUGAUUCAGCGGCGGACGGGUGAGUAAUGCCUAGGAAUCUGCCUGGUAGUGGGGGACAACGUUUCGAAAGGAACGCUACUACCGCACACGUCCUACGGGAGAAAGCAGGGGACCUUCGGGCAUUGCGCUAUCAGAUGAGCUUAGGUGGGAUUAGCUAGUCGGUGGGGUAAUGGCUCACCAAGGCGACGAUCCGUAACUGGUAUGAGAGGAGGAUCAGUCACACUGGAACUGAGACACGGUCCAGACUCCUACGGGAGGCAGCAGUGGGGAAUAUUGGACAAUGGGCGAAAGCCUGAUCCAGCCAUGCCGCGUGUGUGAAGAAGGUCUUCGGAUUGUAAAGCACUUUAAGUUGGGAGGAAGGGCAGUAAGUUAAUACCUUGCUGUUUUGACGUUACCGACAGAAUAAGCACCGGCUAACUCUGUGCCAGCCGCCGCGGUAAGAC